rnacentral:rRNA from 1 species
AUUGAACGCUGGCGGAAUGCUUUACACAUGCAAGUCGAACGGUAGAGGGGGCAACCCCUCGAGAGUGGCGCACGGGUGAGUAAUAUAUCGGAACGUGCCCAGUCGCGGGGGAUAACGUAGCGAAAGUUACGCUAAUACCGCAUACGAUCUAAGGAUGAAAGCGGGGGAUCGCAAGACCUCGCGCGAUUGGAGCGGCCGAUAUCAGAUUAGGGAGUUGGGGGGGCAACGGGUCACCCAGCCAACUAUCUGGAGCUGGUCUGAGAGGACGACCAGCCACACUGGAACUGAGACAGCGUACAGAGUCCUACGGGAGGCAGCAGGUGGGCAUAUUUGACAAUGGACCCAAGUCUGAUCCAGCGAUUCCGCGUGCAGGAUGAAGGCACUCGGAUUGUAAACUGCUUUUGUACUGAACGAAAAGGUAUCUCUUAAUACGGGGGACUCAUGACGGUACCGGAAGAAUAAGCACUGGCUAACUACGUGCCAGCCGCCGCAGUAG